rnacentral:tRNA from 1 species
GCGGACGUGGCGGAAUGGUAUACGCGCCAGCUUGAGGUGCUGGUGGGGGCAACCCUGUGGAGGUUCGAGUCCUCUCGUCCGCACCA